AUCUUGCAAAAAACGGAGAAUUAGAUGGAGAUCUCAACCAUAGAAUACAAGCUGGAUGGAUGAAGUGGAAGAGUGCAUCCGGCAUGUUAUGUGACCGCCGUAUGCCACUGAAGCUCAAGGGAAAAUUUUAUAGGACGGCAAUAAGGCCGGCGAUGCUGUAUGGCACAGAAUGUUGGGCGGUGAAACAUCAACACGUACACAAAAUGGGUGUAGUGGAGAUGAGGAUGCUUCGUUGGAUGUGUGGGCACACGAGAAAGGAUAAGAUUAGGAAUGAGGAUAUCCGGGGUAAAGUAGGAGUAGCCGAAAUUGAAGGAAAGAUGAGAGAAAAUCGGUUACGGUGGUUUGGACAUGUGCAAAGAAGGCCUACUGACGCUCCGAUUAGAAGAUGCGACUAUGGGACAGAGGUUCAGAGCCGAAGGGGUAGAGGAAGACCUAGGAAAACUUUGGAAGAGACUCUAAGAAAAGACUUAGAGUACUUGGAUCUAACGAAGGACAUGACACAGGAUCGAGCACAAUGGCGUUCUAAGAUUCAUAUAGCCGAUCCCACUCAGUGACUUGGAUUUUCCAAGUCUCCAACCGAGAAGUUUUCCUCACUCGGGAAAUUAAGGGAACACUACCCCAACCUACAUGCUCCACUCAGAAAGCUUCAACAUACAAGCUUCAACAAAAGAAAAUUCAAAGAACUUAGCGAAGAAGGCUUUGGUGUAUUUAACACAAUACGUUGAAAUGAAGGAAAGCUUAUUUAUUGAUAUCCCCGAUAAGCUACAAAUAUGUACAUAUACAUGAGUCAAAAUAAACACACAAGAGGGAGCCUUCACAAAGGUUGCUUAGGAGAAGUCUCAGUAGUCGGUAGAGCCCCAGAAAGAGAAGGCACCGGAGGGGGAUCAUUUGGAGCCUCAGUACUGGACAGAACCCUAGAAGGAGGAGGCAUCAGAGGUUGAUCAUUUGGAGCUUCAUUACGCGGUACAGCCCCCAGAAGACGAAGGCAAUAAAUGCCUUUGGAACAAACCCACAAAUCUCUGAUGAUCAAGUAAAACCUGACCAUCAGUUUCCUUCAUCUGGUCAAGCUUCCUCUUCAUGUUUGUAGCAUAGUCAUGUGCGAGCCGGUGCAACUGUUUAUUCUCAUGCUUGAGCCCUCUAAUCUCCUGUUUGAGACUCAUCACUUCAGCCGCCAAUGAUUCAACUUGGCGGGUUCGAGCAAAUAGGCGUUGGGCCAUAUUAGACACAGAACCUGCACACUGAACACUGAGAGCCAGCGAAUCCUUAACAGCUAACUCAUCAGACCGUUUGGAAAGUAGUCUGUUAUCUUUGGGAGUGAGAAGGUUCCUGGCCACCACCGCAGCGGUCAUAUCAUUCUUCAUCACGGAAUCCCCAACGGUAAGAGGACCAGUAAGGGAGACGAAGGAUGGGCGCCAUAUGUUGUCUGGAGAAGGCGGGGCUGCCUCUUCAACAAGGUUCAAGUCAAAACGACGGUCGGAGGGGCCAGACAUUUUCAAAGGUGUUGAAGAGAGAAGAGGUCGGACAAAUCAAGAUCUUAGAAGUGCAAGAAUGAAGCUUCUACUGGUGGAGAUUCAAGUGUGCUUUGGAACUUAAUGCCAGCCCCUAUAAAAAAUCUGCACUCGACGGAGCUUCAGAAAUCGAAGAGGCGCCUGCUCAGAAAUCGAAGAGGCGUUUGCUUUCUCAAAAGCUGGGCUGCUUAGAGAUCACGAGGGUUGAUCUCAGAAAUCGAAAAGGCGUUUGCUUUCUCAAAAGUUGGGCUGCUCAAAGACCUCGAAGGCUGAUCUCAGAAAUCGAAGAGGCGCUCGCUUUCUCAAAAGCUGGGCUCCCCAGAGACCACGAGGGCCGAUCUCAGAAAUCGAAGAGGCACCUACUUUUCCAGCCUUGUCAGCACCUGUCACACGCACACUCAGCUUUGCGGAAAUUAUGGGCAGUCUGUCGAAGACUUCUGGGGAAGUAGAAAACACAUGAAUCUUACUGUUCAAUCACCCACUUCCCACACGCAACAAUAGCUCAUGGGUACCACAGAUAACUUUGCCAAAGUUCUCUGCCAAAGUUGAGCACGUGAAGCUUGCAGCUCCCACUACAUCGCUCUGACCAAGAAGGGUAAAAGAAUAGCAAAGAAACAGCACUAACAAAGUUUAUACCCAUAAAUUUUGAAGGUCUAGCUACCAUAUUAUUACCCACAAGGGUAAAGGAAUAGUACCACUGCUGGAUAAUUGGAAAGUCCCUGUGUGUCAACCUCUGUGCUUCGUGGCAAGGUAGACUAGCAAACAUGCCCAACCUUUACUCACAUUCGAGAAAACACUCCCAAUAAGAUUGCUUGCUCCAAAAUCGAAGAGGCACCGUCCUCCGAAUCUCGAGAGCCAGACUCCCAACAUGACUACUUUCUUAAAAAUCGAAGAGAGGGUAAAGGAACAGUACCAUUGCUGGAUAAUUGGAAAGUCCCUGUUGCUUCGUGGCAAGGUAGACUAGCAAACAUGCCCAACCUUUACUCACAUUCGAGAAAAUACUCCUAACAAGAUUGCUUGCUCCAAAAUCGAAGAGGCACCGCCCUCCGAAUCUCGAGAGCCAGACUCCCAACAUGAUUACUUUCUCAAAAAUCGAAGAGACACUGCUCCCCGAAUCUUCGAGAGCCAGACCCCCAGCAUGAUUGCUUUCUCAAAAAUCGAUGAGGCAUCGUUCUCCGAAUCAAUCGAAGAGGCGCUCGCUUUCUCAAAAGCUGGGCUGCUUAGAGACCACGAGGGCCGAUCUCAGAAAUCGAAGAGGCACCUACUUUUCUAGCCUUGUCAGCACCUGUUACACGCACACUCAGCUUUGCAGAAAUUAUGGGCAUUCUGUCGAAGACUUCUGGUGAAGUAGAAAGCACAUGAAUCUUACUGUUCAAUCACCCACUUCCCACACGCAACAAUAGCUCAUGGGUACCACAGAUAAAUUUUGCCAAAGUUCUCUGCCAAAGUUGAGCACGUGAAGCUUGCAACUCCCACUACAUCGCUCUGACCAAGAAAGGUAAAAGAAUAGCAAAGAAACAGCACUAACAAAGUUUAGACACAUAAAAUUUUGAAGGUCUAGCUACCAUAUUAUUACCCACAAGGGUAAAGGAACAGUACCACUGCUGGAUAAUUGGAAAGUCCCUGUUUGUCAACCUAUGUGCUUCGUGGCAAGGUAGACUAGCAAACAUGCCCAACCUUUACUCACAUUCGAGAAAACACUCCCAACAAGAUUGCUUGCUCCAAAAUCGAAGAGACACCGUCCUCCGAAUCUCGAGAGCCAGACUCCCAACAUGACUACUUUCUCAAAAUCGAAGAGAGGGUAAAGGAACAGUACCAUUGCUGGAUAAUUGGAAAGUCCCUGUGUGUCAACCUUUGUGCUUCGUGGCAAGGUAGACUAGCAAACAUGCCCAACCUUUACUCACAUUCGAGACAACACUCCCAUCAGAUUGCUUGCUCCAAAAUCGAAGAGGCACCGCCCUCCGAAUCUCGAGAGCCAAACUCCCAACAUGAUUACUUUCUCAAAAAUCGAAGAGACACUGCUCUCCGAAUCUCGAGAGCCAGACCCCCAGCAUGAUUGCUUUCUCAAAAAUCGAAGAGGCAUCGUUCUCCGAAUCUCGAGAGCCAGAUACCACAGACCACUUUUUCAAAGUGCUCUGACAGAGUUAAAACAUGUGAAACUGGCAGCUCCCACUACCGUGCUAUGACCAAGCAGGGUAAAGGAAUAACAUUACUACUUCUUAGGGAGACUCCUAUAUAUGUCGACCUCCAUCCCCAACAGACAGGCAGACCUGCAAAAAUGCUCAACCCUUCAUCAUAUCUGAGAGGGCACUCCCAACGAAGCCUUUCGAAAUAUUCAGCUUUCCUUCCCCCCGAUAAUACCUCUGCAAACAAGCUAUACUAGAGCAAGAAUAUCUCAUAUCAUCAGGGUUAAAAGCAAGAGUAUCCCAUAUCAUGCUUUUUCCCUGUCUUUUCCUUUGGCCUUGUUUUUACCUGCAAGACAAGGAGAAAGAGAGCAAUCAGUCAGCACUUGGAAUCAAGCUUCCAGCCAGGAACUGACUGCCUGGAACCCCUUACCUGAUUACUUACCUGGCAUUGCUCUCGAGUACUCAUCUUCAACAUCUUAUAUUUCCAGGGAAGAUUCCGCAUCUGCUUGAGGAACAGAUAGGGCAAGUGCGAAGGAUACAAGGAAGCAUGUGGAGACAAGCGUACCAGCACACGUGCCGAUACAUCCAUUACGCUGUCAAAAGCAAAAGUAUCCCAUAUCAGCAGGGUGGAACGUACUCUAGAUUUGAUGGACUUGUUUUGACCCUCAAAUUCUUCAGUCGGCCUUAUACUCUGGAGGAAACCAGAAAACCCUCCAGCUCAGUUCAAGAAUAAGCCUGUGGAAAGUUACUUCUUCAAAAGCAAAAGUAUCUCAUAUCAUCUCUUCUCAUUUUUCUUCUCUUUAUCCUUCAUGCUGCUGCAAGAUGGGGAGAAGGUGAACAAUCAGUUAGAGCUCUGAUUGCUUACCUUGUCUGUCACCUCUUUCAGCAGACCCCCUAGCUCGGCGACUUGGGGGACUCCUACUACAUGGUUUGUAUCGCGCUUGACCAAGCCUGAAACUACAAGUAAGCUUCAAGUGAAAUUGAUACAUUACCUUGUGCAUCUCCACCAGUUAAAGAUACCACCCCUGGAUGGAGGAAGAGUACUUCCAGAGAAGAUGCCACAUCUACCUAUGAGACAGAUAAGGCAAGUCAAGACGACACCACACUCCGAUACUUAGAAGUUUCGUGAUUACGAGAUCAUUCUCCCACAAUAUUUCCUAAUGUCAUUUGUACUAAAUCAUUCACUUGUACUCACUAAAGGAGAGCUUGAACCUAUGUACUUGUGUAAACCCUUCACAAUUAAUGAGAACUCUUCUAUUCCGUGGACGUAGCCAAUCUGGGUGAACCACGUACAUCUUGUGUUUGCUUUCCUGUCUCUAUCCAUUUAUAUAUUUAUCCAUGCUAAUGACCGGAGCAAUCUAGCGAAGAUCACAAAAAGCGACCGUUUUCACUACCUAGGAUCUAUCUAGCAAGAGAACGGAGAAUUAGAUGGAGAUCUCAACCUCGUAGGCCACUGAAGCUCAAGGGAAAAUUUUAUAGGACGGCAAUAAGGCCAGCGAUGUUGUAUGACACAGAAUGUUGGGCGGUGAAGCAUCAACACGUACACAAAAUGGGUGUAGCGGAGAUGAGGAUGCUUCGUGGGAUGUGUGGGCACACGAGAAAGGAUAAGAUUGGGAAUGAGGAUAUCCGAGGUAAAGUAGGAGUAGCCGAAAUUGUAGGAAAGAUGAGAGAAAAUCGGCUCCGGUGAUUUGGACAUGUGCAAAGAAGGCCGAAUGACGCUCCGGUUCGAAGAUGUGACUACGGGACAGAGGUUCAGGGCCGAAGGGGUAGAGGAAGACCUAGGAAAACUUUGGAAGAGACUCUAAGAAAAGACAGUACUUGGAUCUAACGGAGGACAUGACACAAAACCGAGCGCAAUGGCGUUCUAGGAUUCAUAUAGCCGACCCCACUUAGUGGGAAAAGGCUUUGUUGUUGUUGUUGUUGUUGUUGUGCAGUGAAAGUGACUAAAAAUCAUUGUUCUAAAAAUCGGCGGCACUAGACGACUGGUCAUUACUCUAAUCAAUUUUUAGACGUUUGAAAAUUAAGAAAUGACGUUUAAACCUGUUUAGGCAUCUGUCCUGCCUAACCAACGUCGACCUAGCCUGCCUCGGUUGCAACUCUCACUUAUACAAAAAAUCGAUAACUUUCAUUUUGCAUUUUAUUUUUUCAAUAAAAUGUAAUAGACUUGUUGAAAACUCUAACGAACAUUCAUUAUAUAUUUAUUCCCAUGUUCUCAAUAUGUUUUAAGGAAAACUAACGAAAAAUCUAAAAAAACUUUAGUUUUAAUGAAAAAUAACAAAUAAAGGUGUAGUGAAUAGUACCACAGAAAGGUAAAAAUGUGGUUUUUCAUUAAAAGUGAAUAAUACCGAGAGUGUUUUGUUAAAACUCCCUAUGUUUUAAUACCAUAUAAUUUAUAGUUCAUUUUAUUUUUCAAUUUAUGUCUCCCAGUAAAAUUAGGUAUUUUUUUAUUUUUUUUGGCUAAAUAGCCAAAAUGGUCCCUGAGAUUUGCAUAAAUCAUCACUUUGGUCCCUAACAUUUCAAAUCAAUAAAAGUGGUCCUUGAGAUUGCCCAUCAUCCAUCAUUUUGGUCAUUCUCUUAAAAACUCCGUUAAGUGUCCCGGAACUCUUGACUGGAAGUUUGAGCAAUUUUCAAAGCUUCGUAACUCAAUCGUUUCUUAACUAAAUUUGACCCAUAAUAUAUCAAAAUGAAGAUAGGAAAGUGUAGAAUAAGAUUAUACCUAUUUGGAAGCCCAAUGGUUGCCAGAGAUGGCCGAAAAAUAUUCUCAAAGUUGACUGGUUUUAGGGAAAACUGGAAAACUCGUUGGAAACUGGGUAAAUUUUAAACGUUCAUAACUUCUUCAAUACUCAACAAAAUCAAGUGAUUCAAAAACUAAAAUCAUACUUCUCGACAAGAAGAAGAGAAUGGUACCUUUUUUGACUGCUAACUCGCCAUGGUUUGGCCGUAAAAUGGCUCGAAAGUGGAUGUCUUGGUCUAUAAGACAGCCACUUUCGAGCCGUUUUCCGGACAAACCAUGGUGAUUUAGCCAUCUAAAAAGGUACCAUUCUCUUCAUGUCAUUGAGAAUUAUGAUUUUAGUUUUUGAAUCACUUGAUUUAAAGUUUACCCAGUUUCUAGCGAGUUUUCCAGGUUUCCCUAGGACCAGUCAACUUUGAGGCUAUUUUUCGGCCAUGUCUGGCAACAAUUGGGCUUGAAAAUAGAUAUAAUCUUAUUCUACACUUUCCUAUCUUCAUUUUGAUUUAUUAUGGGUCGAAUUUGGUUAAGAAACGAUUGAGUUACGAAACUUUGAAAAUUGCCCAAACUUCCGGCCAAGAGCUCCAGGACAUUUAACGAAGUUUUUAAAGGAAGGACCAAAAUGAUGGAUGGUGGACAAUCUCAGGGACCACAUUUGUUGAUUUGAAAUGUUAGGGACCACAGUAAUGAGUUAUGCAAAUCUUAGGGACCAUUUUGGCUAUUUAGCCUUUUUUUUAAAAUCCACCUAAUCUACUCAGGCCCCCACCUAGGUCCCGCUCAACCGCCUAGGCGCUAGGCCCUAGCCUGCCGGCCGACUAGCACCUUGCGUCUUUUAGAAUCUUGCUAAAAAUUAUAAAGAAUUAGUAUAAGUUUACACAACGAAAGGAACAUAACAAAAAUGAAAGUAAAGAAAAUUUAGGAUGUAAUAAAUAAUAUCUUUUUGUGUGUGUGUGUGUGUAAUGUAUAGAUUAUAAGUAUACAUGUAUAACAACUAUGCGGUGAAUGAGAAUACGAACAUGGACAAAGGCGAAGUUUUAAAAGGCUGUGCAAUAUAAUGGAAUGACAUUGACUGGGUGUGGAUUUAUGAAGUCCUAAACGGAUGCUCUGUAGCUUUGGUUGUAGAAUCAUAAUAGCUUUGGUUGCAAAACCUGGAAUUGAUGUGAUUGUAGAAAGAUCUAAAUAUAUAUAAGGUGUGUUUUUUUUUUUAGAAAAAAAAAUGUUUGAUGAUGAAAGACUGUUUUCGUGAUAUGAGAAUAUACAUUUUUUUCAUUUCAUAUAUUUCGUUCACCGAGAUGACAUGAUUUGAUAGUAUGUUAUGUGUUUUUUUUUUUUUUUUUAAAGAUUUUGUUGCGAAUAUUUUACAGUAUAUGUUUUGAAUAAUUUUCAGGAAAGUAAACCUUAGAUUUGAAUGGUCUGUCGUUGCAGAAUUCCUCUUUAAAUCGUCUGUCGUUGAGACACUUUCAUUGCAAGGGCAACUGAGAAGCUUUCGGAGGCUGCUGCAGCUUACAUUGAGGUUCCUUCAUUGUGUUGUAUUUGGAUUUUGUUAUUUUAGAAAUAUCUUUUCAGGAAAAAAGAAAUUUGUUGUUUGUGCAUUUUUUUUUUCUGAACACGUUUUCGUCAUGUUUUCCUGGAAUGAGAAGGCACAGAAAAUUAAGGCAGGGAAGCAACAGCAGGUACAAAUGGAGCAGCUACAGCUAUUGGGGCAGCGCGGUAAAUUCUCAUAUCUGUUUCAUCAUGUCUUCCUCUCUUCAUUACAUUCCGAAUCUUCAAAAUCCUUACCGAUUCGUGUAAGUUCUAAUAUAUUUUUCUAUGUUUUUUUGAUUUUGGUUUCCAGGGUUACAAUCUCAAUCAACAAGAUGCAAAACGAGGAGGGAAUCAUCACCCAGCUCUAGAUCCCGAGAAAAUGGUAUUCAAUCGAAUCUAAUAUUGUGUUAUUAGGCAGCAACAUGUCUACAGGUUACAUCUCUAUUAUGUUAAAAUGAUUUUGUCUAUUGUUUUACAUUCAAUUAUUUACUGAAGUUUUUCUGUACUGAAUAUCAUCAUUGAUUUUAAACGAUUGUUAUUCCAUAGAAGCUUACUUUUCUUUGAUAUCAAGAUUUUCUGAUAAAAUGGUAAAAAGUUGACUUGCAUUUGACAAACAAUUGUCAUCAUUAUAGCAGUACAACGCUCAUCGACAUGAUCGUCCCAAUACAUUAUUUUUUUUGUUUUGUGCUUUGGCAAUUUGACUCAUCUUAUCUUGCCAAAAGAUGCAUGUGAGUUUUAAGGAUUCAGGGAUCCUCUUCUCUCCAGAUUACUGGAUCGGGCCUUACCUCCAUGUGUUGUUGAGUCUAUUGAAAGUUGGUAUGCAUGAGAAGUUUAAGUAAUACUUGCCAUAAAAAGUAGAAGUGAUGACUGACAAGGAAUUGAUUAUCUCAUCAGCAACUUCAUUUUUAUCUAAGAACGAAUUUGAUACAUGUAGAUGUAUAUAGGUUAAAUUGAUUGUUAAGAUGACAAUUUAAUCACUUUUCAAUAUCUUAUAUCUCCAUCUCCCAGUUCUGAUUUUUACUUACUUGAAAUAAAUAGAUUCUAGGAAUCUCAUUUAGCAAAAUAAGCAAUGGAUAGUGCAAACGGUUUUUUCUUACAUUCACAACAAUAUAGGCACUUCUAUUUUUUUAGCAAUAUAGUGCUUAGCUUAAAGUCAGAAUGUUAACCAAAUGUAUUCAAUUUGUUCGACUAACCAUUGUUCUAUUAAUAGUUCAUUUAAUCUAAGGUCAAAUGGGUAGAUCUUGCUCCAUAUACUGAGUUAGUAUAGGUUACCUAGAAGAGUGCCGCUAUGAAUGGUUGCUCUCGUGCGAUCGACUUUCAUACAUUAAUGCAUGGUGAAAUUGGCUUAAGGACUUACAAGUCAUUUGCUGUCAUGCACCGAUCUAGACAUACGGUCUACUGUAGGAGGUGCAAGGAAAAUAAUUGAAAUACUGAGACUAAAAUUAACAACAUUUGCAAUAACUCAGGUUCCAACAAGAAAGUUCAAAGGAAAUACAAGAUAAGAAAUAGGGAGCACUCCAAACUUUGAACUCUGACUCCUAACCCAAGAACUCCUCGCAUCAACUAAGCUUUGUCACCUGCACAAUUGCCCCUACACCAUGGGAAUGGUGCACCGGGUAAAGUAAAAACUCAAAUAAGUUGAGAAGUUCGUGUGAGGGACAAUAAUCCGACUUAUUUGGUAAUCAUAAAAUAUUUUUAUCGACCACAACUUAUACACAUCAAUCAUAAAAGCAUACUUUAUAAAUCAUAAUCAAAUCACUGAAAAUUCUGAAGAAGUCACGCAAACAUUCAUUGGCCUUUCUAAAUCAAAGGUCCUCGAAUUUCUGAUUCAUAAAUACAAUGAAAACUAUUGCUAGAGCGACACAGUUCUGCUGAAGACUACAUCUCCUAAUUUUUCACGUUCUAGAAUCAUUUCAAAAACCAACGAAGCCAAGAGAAGCGAUUUUGGGCUACUCAACGAAAUCCAAAGUACAUUGGGUUCUAGAUCAAUCAACGGAACCAAACGGAUACAAUUCCGAGCCACUCAACAGAAUCGUGAAGUAGAAGGGAUUACUGAUCACUCAACGGAAUCCGAACAGGAUACGAUUCCGGACCACUCAGCAGAAUCGUGAAGUACAAGGGAUUCUAAACCACUCAACAGAAUCCAAACGAAAACAUAUGGAUGGAUCUCAAACCACUCAGCAGAAUCAAUACAGAGCAGGGAACUAGACCACUCAACGGAACUCUAGCUAAACCUGAUUCUGGACCACUCAACGGAACCGAGCAUAAUCCAAGGAAACAGUUUCAAACGGCUCAAUGAAAUAAGACAUGACACUUUCAAUGCAACGAUUCCCCAUGUCAAUGGGGUUAUCAGUCCUCUACUAACCCUCAAGUUCAUAAACAUUUCAAAUAUGCAGGUCAAAUCACAUUUCAUGAAAAUAUAGAUCGAUGGAAAACUAUGAAAGCAAUAAUAUUUAGUAGAAAAACACAUUUAUAAAUUCAUGUCAUAUCCACAAAAUAUACUAACAUGAGGAUUUCAUGGGUAAUCACCAUAUUACAUAUAUUAAAGUCACUCACUUGAAGUCCGCACUACGGCUUCCUAGCACGCCACUUGUUUGAUAAAAUAACUGUGACCACUAUCUUGAACCGUCGUGCUCAGUAUCAGACAUACCUGCGAUUUGGGUAUUGCCAUUUGAGUGCUUCAGUAUCCAAAAAGUAGCUAUGAAGUAUGUUGAGUAUUAUUUGCUUCGAACAUCCUUCAAUUGUUCCCUUAGUUGUUGUUUUUUGGUUGUUUAUCAUAGACACAGUUGUUUUUUAGUUGUUUUUUGGUUGUUUAUCAUAGACACAGUUGUCUAUCAUAGACACAGUGGCUAUUAAGUUGAUUGUAUUGAUAUUUUCAGGUGAUGUGGAGAUGCGCUGGGUUGAUGCAUAUUUCCCAUUUACCGACCCAUCAUUUGAACUUGAGAUGUUUUUCAAUGUAUGCUACUGAGUUCGAUCACUUUGAGGGGAAAAAAAGCAUUUCAAGUCUCUCCUGUUAUGUCAUUCUGUUAGAGGUUCUUUCUUUUUCAUGGACGGUACCUAAGAGUAAUCCAUUAUGCAGAAGAAUGUAGUAUUUCCUUACUACGAACAAGUAAUAACUAACCAGAAUGGUACACACUCAAGUAAGACAAGAUAAAAAUUAGUGUACGGAAUAUUGAUUGUUGGAUAGAGACUAUCAUGAAACAAGUUUACUGCCACCAUGAUGCCUGUGGUCACUCAAGGUCAUGUGCAAGACUCGUUACAUUGCCUUGUAUAAGUGGCUCGCAAGUCCAGGGUGACAAUGAACCGUUCCACCUAAGUUAAGGUUAAGCACAAAGACAACAUAUCUCAUAACUAUGACAUCCAAAAUGUAGGGUUCAAGAUGAAGUUGAAAUUCAUAACAACAAAAGAGGUUCUUAGGAUGAUGCCCUUUAUGAGGGUGAUCAAAAUAACAAGUGGAGGACAUGGGCAUCAUUAAAUUUGCAGGCCUUUUUUCAUCUGCCUUCAAUAUUCAGAUUCAUGUUUGGUAGUAUUCGUGGUGAAAUACUCAGCUUCAACAACUACAUCCAUCCGGCUACUUUCUUAUUUUUCGACUUGAACUGAUCCUUGGAAAUUGAUUGCUUUCCCUAAAACAAAGACAGAAAAACAGAGAAGAAUAACACGCGUAUAAGUUAUGCAGAUGACAGACCUGAUGGAGCAGAAAGAAACUCACAACCAACAGAAAACUUGCUCACCUGGUGAAAAGGUGCAAUCAGCAGUUUCUCUACCGCGGAAAAUGACUACAUCAAUUAAAUGUUCGGUAUUAUUGAUCAACAUGAAAACACACACAUCACCGAUUUCCAGACCAUUGUCUUGCACAAAUGUCAUCCAGCCACUCUGGAAUUUCAGUACAGUUUUGCUAUAUUGGUGUAAUUUGACAGGCCAAGUUCUUCCACCCGAAACACGAAGAAUCACAUUAUCAUGAGUCCUGUUUAGAAGAUGUUCCCGGGCAAACUUAGCUUCCAAAUUCUGAAAUAGAAAGAGAAGCAGGUAAGACUAAAUUUUUGGAGUAUUUAGAACGUAAUUUUCUUUAGCUUAAUAGUUUUCAUUUCAUACUAGCAGAAGUUGUACAUGAUCUGUCUCUCUAGAAAGCUUACCAAAGUAUUUGCCUGGAUAUACGAGGGACGCAUAACAACCAUGCAACAAGGGUAUUCAGAUUUGAAAGCCCUUGCUCUCUGAAGAGCUCUAUUUGUUCCGCUUUCUGUAAGUGGAUUCAUCAUCCUAGGAACCUGAUUAGGUCUUCGUUUUACUAAUUCUUUAGUACAAGACGAGCCACCAAACUUCUUCAUGUGGUUUUCUGAAGUGCUAAUGGAACCUGCUCUGUUUUUCUUGUGAGGCUGUGUUGCAAUUGGUGAUUUUUUCUUUGUUUUCAGGCAUGGUGGAGAAUCGUCCAAGAUUUCAACACAACCAUCAUCUUCAUCAGUUUCUUCAGUUUCGGACAUUGUUUUUUCACCAUCAACGUCUGCAAGCACCCGCAAAAGAUUAAGGUGACAGGUAGUUAAUCUCUACGGCAAUUCCAUCAACUAAUCAGUUCAGAAAUUAAUAGACAACUUACCUUGUGACAGGUUCCAACGUGCAGCUUCUGUAGUGCGGAAAAUAACAACAUCCAUUAAACCUUUGAUGUUGUUAAUCAACGCAAAUACACACACAUCACCAAUUUCCAAAUGAUUGUCUUGCACAAAUGUAAUCCAACCAUUCUGGAGUCGGACCAUGUUUUUCUGACGUUUGCUUAAUUUGACAGGCCAAGUUCUUCCAUCCGAAACACGAAGGAUUACUUGAUGAUAAUUCCACUUAAGAAAGUGUUCCUUGGUAAACUUGGCUCCCAAAUACUGAAAAGAAAGAGAAUCAGGUAAUUUGGAGAGGAUUUGCGUUGUAAUUUGUUUGAGCUUAAUUUUCAGUUUGAAAACUAACACACACAUAUAUGUAGACAUAAAAUUAGCAGAACUUGUACAUUAUGUCUCUCUAUAAAAAGCUUACCACAUAAUGUGCAUGGAUAUACGAGGGACUCAUAACAACUGUGCAAGAAGGGUAUUCAGAUUUGAAAGCCUUUGCUCUCUGAAGGGCUCUAUUUGUACCAUGUGCCGUAACUGGGUUCAUCUUCCUAAGAACUUGAAGAGUUCUUCGGUUCAUUAUUUUUUUAGUCAAAGACGAGCCACCAAAUUUCUUUAUGCGGUUUUCUGCUGUGCUAACUGAACAUGUUCUGUUUUUCUUGUGAGGCUGUGGUGCUAUUGGUGAUUUCUUCUUUGUUUUCGGGCAUGUUGGAAAAUCGUCCAAGAUUUCAAUGGAAUCAUCAUCUUCAUCAGUUUCUUCCAUUUGGGACAUUGUUUGUUCCCCGUCAACAUCUGCGAGCACAUCACAAAAGAUGAACGUGAUGGAUUGUUAAUCUCUAUGGCACUUCCAUCAAUUAAUCAGUUCAGAAAUUAAAAGACAACGUACCUGGUGGUGAGAAUGUAUGUGCAGUUUCUGUGGCGCGAAAAAUGACAACUUCAAACUCAAGUUUAGUGUCAUCUAUCAACACAAGUACACACACAUCACCAACUUCCAAAUUAUUGCCUCUUACAAAUUCAGUCCAGCCAUACUGCAGUCUGAGUUUUGGUCUGGUUGCCUUUUCACAUUUCAUUUCAACAGACCAAGUUCCCCCAUCCAAAACCCGAAGGGUAAUGGCACCAGGAUGCUUACCGAGACGUCUCAUGUGGAUACACAAUUUUGAAGGCAGCCACUGAAAAUAAUCAAAUGAAGGAAAAGACGAUAAGCAAACAAAUUUGACGGUCCAUGAUGGUUGUCUAUAGAGAACUUACCACAGAAUAUCCAUUGAUAUAAGUGCGCUUCAUGGGAACUAUGAAAGAAGGGUUGUCAGAUUUGAAAGCUGUAGCUCUCCGAAGAGCUACAGCAGCUUUUCCUCUUGCAUUCGACGCAUGCAUCCUCCCAAGAACUGUUUGAGCUCGUUUUGGAGUGCUGGACGUGCCUUCACCGUGUCUUUUGGAUGCAAACUCAGCUUUGCAUGUCAAAGAACACAGUAGGAUAUUAAAAGUUAGAACAGAAUGGCAGAAAGCACAAUAAGGUAAAAAAUCGGAAGCUAAACAUAUGUUGCGUAUUAAUGUUUCAAUUUUUAUUUCUGAUUUUUAUUGACUUCUUAAACAUCAUUUCGUAAUGUAAUCAGAGUAUUUUUUUGGUUUCUGGUUUUACCUGUUGAACUUGUUCUGUGCUUCUUACGAGGCUGAGGACAUGACAAUGGAUAUUUGUCCCUUGUUUUUCUUGAGCGGGACAUGAUGUUGUCCAAGACUUCAACACAAUCAGAGUCGUCAUCAUCAUCCCAAGAACUAUUGUCGGAAUCAUCAUCUUCAUCGGUUUCUUCCAUCUCGGGCAUUGUCAAUGGAUAGUUGAUCUCUGUGAAAUCCUUGUCAAAUACACUAACGCGGAAUGUUGAAUUCCCUUCAUAUCCGAAAACUAACGAAUGACAGCAGUCUAGAGAGCAAAACUUCGAGAACUUUGGCCAACCCUCGCCGAACCAGACCUCACCCUCCCAUAUUCUGAGUUCUAUUUUCCACUCUGAACCAGUUGGAAGCUUAAGAAAUACUGGAUUCGAAAGAUCAUCUCCAUAUUUCCUAAAAAAUUUGUUUGGAAUCCUCUGCACAACACAGAAACUUGUCACCAAACUGUUCGUAUAGUGAAAACAAUUAUCUGAUUUUUGUGGCUAUGAAAUAUAUGGGUACAUUAACUGCAUCAAAUCCUAUUAAGUCAGACUCUUCAUUGUGAGAGGGGUUAAAUAAUUGAGAGUUUUAACAAAACACUUCCGGUACUGUUCAUUUUUAACGAAAAACCACAUUUAUACAUUUCCUGUACUAUUCAUUAUACCUUUAAAAAUGACUUUUCUUUAAAAGGGAAGUUUUCUUAGAUUUUUCGUUAGUUUUCCUUAAAUACUUUGGUGCCGUUUGAUAACCAUUUCAUUUUCAGCUUUCAGAAAACCAAAAACUAACAACUUAAAAGCUAAAUUUUGAGAACUAAAAAGAGUAAGGAAUGUUUGAUAAUCAUUUCGUUUUUUGUUUCAAACUAAUCUCCAAAAUCAAGCACGGACAUUAAAGAGAGAGAGAGAGAGAGAGAGAGAGAGAGAGAGAGAGAGAGAGAGGGAGGGAGGGAGAGAGGUACUCACAAGUUUGGUCUGUGUACAAAUAGACUUCGGAAUAACUACUAGGAAAUGGGGAGCUUUAAGAUGUGUUUUUGAAGAGAAGUCAUGAAUUUUCCGGUGAAAAGAAGCCAUUUUUUUGAAGUUCGUCAAAAGCUUGAAGAUCUGCUUCAAAGCUUUAAAGUUGUCAGCAGAUCACUCAGCCGAGCUCCAGUUUAUGGACUAGCAAGAAGAAGGUAGACUGGCAAACUAAUUAAGUGCUUGAAGAAUUAAAUGCUCAGUCCACCAACUCAAUCGUUAUUAAUUCAGUUCACAACUUAAUGCUUGUUCUUGAAGUCAUUGUAGUGCAGUGGUACAUGAAUGCAUUAAUGUGUCUGUACAUGUAUACUCUGACUCUAACUACCAAAUCCAAAUCCCUCAUAUUAAUGAGAAAUAUUAAUUGGGAACAGGAUUACUUAGGCGUCCUAGUACAAUAAUGUCUUACCAUACCCAAAUCCCCCAUUAUUAAUGAGAAAUAUUAAUUGGGAACAUGAUUACCACUACCGGGCGUCCUAAUUCAAUAAUUUCAUACCGAGCUUAAGUUUUUUCUAAGUUAUAACAGUAAAAAAAGAUAACCACUAAUUGUUUCCAAUCAAAAUGCCAAAUCUUAUGUGGCAUGACAUGAAAUGGCAGCAAAGAGACUUGCUGUCAAACUUCAAUUUUUUUUUACUAAUUAUUAAAUGUCUUUUAUUAAUAUUUUAAUGUCAUUUAUUAUUUGAUUGUUGAACGGUAGAGUUGGUUUAAAACACUACCUAUUUCUUCUUUUUUAAUCAACAAAUUUGUUUCAAUUUAAGCAGUUGAUUGUUGAACGGUAGAGUUCAUCUAAAACACUACCUAUUUCUUCUUUUUUUAAUCAGCAAAUUUGUUUUAAUAUAAGCAACAUUGCUGCUUUGUAAAAUACAGUGAUUCGUUCUUCAAUAGGUAUCCUUCGUUAUUUUGUGAACAUGCCCCAAAUUUUUUCAGACUCAUCUUCUAAUUCAACAUAUGAGCAUUUUUGGAGUAUUGUUAAUUCUGAAUUUGAUGAAUAACUGGAAAGGCUGGAAUUGGUUGCUUUACAAAAUGAACAAGAGAACAUGGAGACAUGAAUGAGAAAACGGCGUGGCUCCAUAAAAGGCAAUGCAUAUAUCAAUAGAAAGUAGUGCAGAAUAUGAUAGGCUAGAGUGCCAAUAGUGGCAACCUUUUAGAAAGAGUGCGGCUAUACACACUUGCCUAUUGUAUUUUUUUCACGAUCUUAUAGUUACAAAAUUUGUAAGCAGUUUUAGGCCCCGUUUGGGAUUGAGGUGAUUUUAAAAAAAGCCACUGUGAAAAAAAGCUGAUGGUCAUUUUUGUGUUUGGUAAACUGAAAAAAAAGGGGCUUAUUUUGGAAGCUGCUGUGAGAAUAAGCUGAAAAUCAAAGGAAAAGCUGAAGCUGCUAUUUGCUGCUUUGAAAAAAAGCCAUUUUUUUCAAAGCACACGGAGCUACAGUGCUCCUUUAAUGAAAAGACACACUAUCAUCCUGCUUUUUUUUUCAAAAGCACUUUCACAAAAAAGUUUACCAAACACUUUACUGGCUUUAUUUCACAGCCGCUUAUUCUAACAGCACAGCCGCUUAUUCUCACAGCAGCUUUUUUUCAAAGCACAGCAAUACCAAACCAGCCCUUAGUGCCCUUGCACUUGCCUUGCCCUUGUCCUCCAAAAAAUCACUUCCAACAGUCCGUUUGGUGAAGGGCAAUUGGUGGGCCAACACAUGCCUGUCCAAAAGCCCGAGUAGCUUGAGCUCGGCCUUGUGCUAGUGGUCAAGGUUGACGUCAACAUGGUGUCAGCCACAUUUUUUUUUUUGUGUGUUUGACGCGUGAUGAGAGAUAGUGGGCUGAUUGUUGCUACUGUCAUGGCCCCCAAGCUAUCAAAGCAACUCAGCUCCCCAACAGCUAUACACGUGGCAUUUAUGAGCAGUUGGAUUUGAAACGGUCUCAAGAUUCAAUAACUAAAAUUAAUCUUGUUCAAAAUUUUAUUUAAUAAUUUAAAAUUUUGAAUAAAGGUUUUAAAAAAUUAUAGAAAUUAAUGAAAAUUCAUAAAUAAAUAUAUUUAAAAAUACAAAAAUAUUAUAUAUUUUUCUAAAGACACCCAACCAUCUUCUUCACUACCAUAUCAAAAAUCUAACGCUUUCGCUAGUUAUUAAAUAACUUAAUUAUGCUUUAAAAUUAAAAAAAAAUACAUUUGUAAGUAUGAAUCGUCCUUGUCCUUACUUUUAGCUCAACGGGUGGACUUACACAAAGGUAAUCACUUUUCAAAAGGCAAUUUACAUGCCCUUACCCUUGCUUAGCCCUUGCCCUCUUAAGAGCAAGUCCACUGUUUGCCCAAGUGACAAGGCAAUUGGGUUGAAUUGCCUUUGGCUGCAAAAGGUGGUCCACUGGUGUAAAAAAUGGAGGGCAUUUGGACCAAGGGCUUGUGCUUUUUUAACUACAGGAGACGAUAGAGUGGGGCCCACCCGCGUGCACAACCCAGAGUCAAAUGACUUAUUUUUCCUCCAACUUGUGCCGUUAGAUUUCCAACAGUAAAAAAAAGUUGCAAAACUUUAUGCAGCUACCAAGUGGCGCAAUUUGGGGCAUCCAAUAUAAAUAAUUUUGAUUUUGAACGGUUAAAGAUUAUUCUAAAGGUAAGCAAAUUCAAAAAAUAAACCCAAAAACUAAAACAAAAAAACAAAAAAAAAAUACCCAAAUUUUUUUUUCUAUAAGUACCCAACCAUUAUCUUCAUUUCUUGUAUUUGAAAUAUAUUAUAGAAAUCAAACAAUCAUUUUAUUUUCAAUGGUGGGCUAAAAGCCAAAUUACCCCCCAAAAUUUCCCCUCAAACCCACUCCAACCCAAGGGGAAAAUUUGGGCUAAAUGCUAAAUGUUAAAUGCUAAACCAAUGCCAGAUUCCUCCAGAAAUUUAGCCCAGAAAUUUGAAUUUAAAAUUUUCAAUAUUUAUUGGAAUUUAAAAUUUUUUAGAUUAAAAUGUUCAUAAAAUUAAUUUACGAUAGUCUACAUAUUUAUUUAUUUUUUUAAAAUUUAAUUUAACAAAAAAAAUAGUCUAAGUUCAUUUUUUAAUAAUCUUAGGCUAAAAUUUUAGGCUAAAAAGGUUGGAGCAAAAAAGCUGUUUCUGGAUUAAAAGCUAAAUUUUUCGGAUUAAAAUAUUUGACUUUUAGCCCAACAUGGUCUCAUAAAACAAAUUCAUCAAAGCAUAAAAAAAAGUAAUAAAAAAUAAAAAAUAAAAUUUUGAAUACUGCCUUGCCCUUUUUGCUUUUCACAGACGGAUUGAUUUCCAAAAGGACAAUUACUAUUUUUAAAAAAAUGAGGAAAAUGACGAAAGGCUCAAUGGCAUUUGAACUUCCACGUUGCACCUGACAUGCGAAGCCACGUAAACUUUGCCCCUCUGAAAACUUUGCCUGCCCAUAUUCACAAAGAAGCCAUUCUCACAUCCCCAGCCCACCCCAGCCCACAUCCCAGACUAGCCGAAAGGGCAUCUCGUGUAAUUCCCAUGAACUUAAAGGUCAAGGUAAUUUUAGCUUUCACUAAAUAGUCACCCGGAUACGAAGGCUAAACUAACAGUUUGUCAUUCAUGGCGCUUCUGUUUCCCGGCGGUGGUUGGUGCGUACGACUACGAGUAGGCCACUCGUCGCGGCCGGCGCACGUUAGACCGAGCUUUGUUACCUUUGCUACAGUGUCCCCAAGGACCCCAGCCAAAGGCGACAGAGUGGACUGGGUGGAAGCAACUUCAGGCUUCUUUGAAAAUGACACGAGGCCCAUCAUGUUGUUCGACGGUAAUAACGAUUCAUUUUAGCACUUACCGUACUCGUCAUGCUACUUUGCGCUUGGUGUAGAAACAGUACUUUAUGGCUUGUGUAUUUGUUUAAGAAUCCAUCUUGUUUGUGUUGUGCAAUAUGGGAUUAGCUAAUUGAGACUGGCUUUCUAGGUUACAUAUUUGAUAUGUGAUAGGUCAACUUUUUUCUUUUCUUGAUAAAGAUUUAUUGUAAGCCAUUCUAAUUUGCGGGGAGCGGAAUUCAAACUUGGGUGCAACAGAGUGGGGACACUACACAGACUAACUGGUCUAACCUACGUCACGUCUGUAUAAUAAGUCACGUUUAGAAUAAGUUGCAAAGGAAAAUACAAAUAUAUUUUUGUCCAUCUUGUAGUUUUACUCCAUGGAAGAUAGUGAAUGAGGCUAGAACAUCAUAAUAUGUUACGUAUUUCUGUAAUUCUUAAUAUGGUUAUGUUCUAAACUACUAUGUUUUAGAGUUUAGUUGGAUUCGUUGGUGCAGAACGUGAGCACCAGGCGAAUUCUGCAGUUGUGUUACAGAUACAAUGAAAACUCAUGAUCGUUGAUUUUUUUACAGGUGUUUGUAACUUGUGUAAUGGAGGUGUAAAGUUCGUGCGGGAUAAUGAUCGAAAUAGGUUCGAUUCUCCUCUUCCUUUGAUUGUUUGUAGACUCUAUUAUGAUCAUCGUUAAGGCAACAAGAUUAUAUUUAGUAGGGAAAACAAUGAUCUCUUUUCUUCAUAUAUAUAAUCCUUAAGUUUGAAGAGUGCAAAUUAUUUGGUAUCUUAUGAGGUUUAUCUUCAAUCUUCUACUCGUGUUGUUAUUGUUUAAUCCACUUCUGACAGGAGCAUAAGGUUUGAAGCUCUCCAGAGUGAAGCAGGGAAGAAACUGCUCAGAAGGUCCGGAAGAGCUCCUGAUGAUAUUUCAAGUGUUGUUCUUGUUGAAAAGGAUAGGUAUAUACAAUGACCUCAUUGCUAAUCUGGAGCGGUUUUUAACAAUUAUCAAGGUUUUGAUGAAUGAUAACAUUUUUCUCGUUUACAUGAACUUUUCUCAUAUUAAUGACGUUCUCGUUAGUGUUAUGGUCUCUCAGUUUGACAAUACUAACCGAUAAUUUAUACGAGUAACAUUGAUAACUGACAUGGUGAAUUUGAGAAUUUCAGAUCAUUUAUCAAGUCAGAAGCUGUUGUGAAGAUAAUGGAAUAUAUAGACUUGCCCUUCCCCCAGCUAGCGUUUUUUGCACAGUUUAUACCUCUGUAAGUCAUCCCCUCUUUGUUCUUUAUAAUUUUUGCCUGUCAAGAUUCAAACUGAUGGACGAUGCCAUGGUAAUACACUAUGUCCAUAAUUGAUAAUUUUUUUUUCUUCUUCCGGAUGAAUGCAGUUUUGUAAGGGAUUUUCUAUACGACAAUGUAGCAAACAACCGUUACACAAUCUUUGGUCGCUCAGACACGUGUGAGAUAUAGGCAUUUGAAUACUUAAGUUUCCUACUGAAGGUAUGUAUAUUGUAAAGUACGGAUAUGAUGAAUUUUGAUUUUGUAAUGUAAGUUUGACUUCCAUUUUAAUAGAAUGAAAAUUUAUCUAAUUUGUUUUAAAAGUUUCUUACUAUAUAGCUUCAUAUUAACACGACGUCUAGAAGUACAGUUUGCAUGUGAAUUGGAGGCUAAGCUGCCUUCCUUCAACAGUCCUUGGGUUGAUUAAUCAAAAUGUAGAAAAAUUCUGAAACAGAAAUUACAGAACUCAUCUACAUUGCUACCUCGAUUAAAAUAUAACAUAGCAUUGCCUUCAUCUCCAUCUCCUUAUCCUAGAAGACUCCCUGCUGUCCUUGCUUAUAUUCCGUUCCUCUUCUGUAUGUGCUAAAAUCACUUUGUUAAUCCUGUUUUUGAGGUCAAGUGCACUACCAUGAACACCCGCAAGUGUGUUUUGAGUAUAUGAUCAUAUAUGUUUGUGGGGAUACCGUAUACGUAUUAAGUCAUUCUGACAGCCCUGUGUUACCAUCUUGAAAUUUAGCUUAAAACUCACUAUGCUCAUUCACAGACAAAAACAAUUUCUAGCAAAGACUUACCAACAAAAGUGUCAUAAUUUGUUAUUGAUAAGAAAGUAUGUAUGUGUGUGUGUGUGUAUAUAUAUAUUUGUAAUGUUUGAGCCUCAUGAACUUAUAAAGCGAUUAUUUAGCGUUUUUCUUAUAACAUGUCAAACCAUGUUCGAAAUGUAGUAGCUUCUAGUCUGGUUUGUGAGAUAUAUUCAUUUCGUACAUAUACAUACAUACAUUUACAUCUGAACAUUCACAAAUAUACAUCCGAAUGUCAGCAAGUUAAUUAGAUGCACUUUAGAUAUGCAUGUCUCUCUUUUUUCUGAUAUACGGAAGUAUAGUUUAUGGUGUGCCUUGUUUUUCCGUCGUGUAGAGGAGGUGGUGUUAUACCUGCAAUUCUUGAGUAGGCAGUUGAGCUCUCUAGAUUAUUCGUUUGAUUUCUAGAACUUAAGGUAGAUUUUUCAGUGCCGGAGGACCGUAUAGCUUACCAAAGCCGUAUGUGUAUCUGCAAUGGAUGAGAAAGGUGAAAUGUUAAUCAGGGACUGGAGGUUGCUUGAUUUUGAUUUGUAUUUAAUAGUAAAUUUCUGAAAGGAAAGAAUCAAAUUACUAACUUACCCAAGAACUAAGAAAACAAAAGCAGUGAUCCCUAGCACAUACUGAUAGAACUUGUGCCUAGAUUUACGUCUUCCCUCGUAGGUUGAUGGAAGGUGCCUGCUGCUUAUAUAACCAUACUGUGGACGAACUAGAAUAACAAAGCCAAGGAAAAAUCCUGCAAGGAAUCCUCCUAUAUGAGCUGAACUGUCCACUUUAGGUAUAAACCCAACAGCCAUAUUCACGGCAAUGACAACCAUGAGUAUCAGGAGCGCUGUGCACUGAAUAGCAAAGUUAGAUCUUAGACGUAUCCCUCAUCGAUUUGAGCCUCAGCAUUAAAAGCUGUUGUAUUUUAGAUGCCGGCAUAGCUGGGGUUCUUUAAAAGAAAAGAAAGGUUACCUUAUUCACGUAGAUUGUCCAGUUUAUUAGAAGCUCGGAAAGCAUGGCUCCCAGCAAUCCAAAAAGUGCUCCAGAUGCACCAACUGAGAUAGUUGGGCUUGCGGUUCUCAUGCGAUGUAGAGUCGAUCCUAAACUUCCUCCUAUUCCAGCAAGCAGAUACAGGAACCCUAUUCUGACUGCCAAAUCAAAACAGUUAAGAAUAGUUAGCAUGCAUUAAUCAUGUAAAAACCGAGUUGACAUCUCCUGAAUCUUAAGUUCUUACUAAAUCCGAAUUCCUGCUCAAGCCUUAUUCCUAUGAAUAGAAGGCUCAGCAUAUUGAAGAGCAAGUGAACGACUCCAGCAUGAAGCCACAUGCAAGACAAGAGGCGCCAUCCUUCGCCCCCUUCCACCACUAAUUGCAGUUCAAGGGCUCCUAGUUUCUUUAGACUGCAAACAUUAGCAAUUAGAUUAGGUUUUAACAUGACCGUUCAAGAAGUUAUAGCUUAACGUAUGCCUAGUUCAGUUAAGAAUGAUUUCCAAGUUGGCACAGCAAUCGGACACAUUUCCUUGUUUGACUUUGGGGUCCGAAAGACACUGCCUCCUGCAUUUUGGGGUAGCAUAGAUUCAUAGGAAGGGACAUUGUUGCUAAGACCUAGAGCAUUUUGGGGUAGCGUAGAUUCAUAGGAAGGGACAUUGUUGCUAAGACCUAGAGGACGGGAGAAUGCGACUACCCUGGAAUCUUAUGUUGGCUAUGGCGCUCGAUAGAUUAGGGUACUUAAGCAAGACAUAAGAAUCCGAAUAUCAAUUGGUGCUUAAGCAAGAGGUAAGAGCAAGUAUGCUAUACAGAACAAAACAUAGUAUUGAAGGUAUCUUCUUUGUUCAAAUUAAUCAUGUUUUAGUCUUAAUCGAAUUCUGUAAUUAGUUCUUGUUUCUGUAAUCCAAAACUAUCUCAAUUGCAGAAGAUUAGACGCAGGAGUUGAAUUAGUUUUAUGCAAGAAAACAAAAUAAAAAAUAAGAGACAAAAAGUAGAAAUCAUUGGGAGAGGUAGGAGGAGAUUCUUACGUAAGUGCGGCAGGACCAAGAAGAGGGUUUUCUCUGAAGGGUUGGAAAGAGAACCUCUUAAAGAAAGGAAAAAGACACUUUUCCCCUGUAGUUGGACAGUCAUUGACGUACAUCGUGUACACGAACAUGGCAACAUUGACGACAAACACGAUUGGCAUGAGCCACGGCACCCAUGGCUUAGGAGGAGGGGGGCACAAAUGGGGCGGGGGCAUGGAAUGCCGAGACUUUUGUCUCUUUUCGCGCCCCUUCUCCAUGUCUUCGGAGGAUGGCGGUCUCUCCCCCAUUUUUUCCGGCCACGGGGGGUGGUAGAGGAAGAGGAAGAGGAAGAGGUAGAGGCGCACACUGCACCGGCGCUUUUGGCAGAUGCUAAUGUGCACCACCAAGUUACAGGGAGGACUAAAAUGAGAGAUAUUGGCACUGGGUGGCAAGGAACGAGUUUGGCUAGGUUGGUAGUUAAGUUUGGUACUCUCCUUGAUUAUAGAUAUCUGGAAAUUACUUUAUGGCCCUGCUAUGUUAUGACCUCUAUUCUUUAACAAAAAAACAAACAGACAGAAAAAUAAAAAUUCAUUUUUUGCCAAAAAUAAAUAAGAUUGGUACUGUAUAAAAGGUUCAACUUAAUAACCAAUUCAAUGUUGAAAGUUGCUUUAGUUUAGUUUGCUAAUUAAGAAAAUAAACAUAGUUCGAGUUGGAAUUAGGACAUAUUAGUAACGAUCAAGACACGUAGGGAUAUAAUUAGGCAAUAACAUUAGGGGCUAUGAGUACUUUGGGGGCUCAACAGAAAUAAGUUAUCCCAUUGCAGAUUCCCUUGUUACAUUUAGAAACUGUGGUAGAAACACCAGCCUGUAGUAGUUUUGUAUUUGUUACAGGACUCAGCUAAUCAGCCAUUGCUUCUACACAGUGUUUAAAAUAUCGGUAUUAGUGGAAAUGUUGAACGCAAAUUUGUGGAAAUAUUGAUGCAUAAUCGAAUAUCAAUAUCGAUAUUGGUUGCUUUUAAUUGAAAUGAUGAAAUAUUAAAAUGAAACUUUAGCUACUGUCAAACAUUGGUUUUGACGAAAUAUACGAGUUUCUUCGAUAUUUAACAUAUAUGUAAGAAAUAUCCACGAUAUAUGUCGAUUUAGCCUAAACUUAAAAGAGUUUCUCCGAUAUGAGGUGAAGUUUAGGCUUCACCUCCAUUUCCAUAUCUUUCUCUAUUUUUUUCGAAUCCUUAUGAAAAUGAAUCUAGAACGAAAUCACGCUAAAACUAGGGCUUCACCCGUAAGUGGCGCGCUGUGUGGCCCGAGCAUAGUGAUAAGUGAGCAAGGGUCGUUGUAUCUCCAUCGACACCCGGAUGCAGUGUUAAAUGAGCAAGGGGGGCAUAGAAACUUCUUUUCGAACGACUCCACUCAAAGUUGUUUGGGAGCAUAUGCUCCUAUCAACUUUACACAGGACACACAAAAGAAGUACUUUGAUCCUAUUGGACGGGGGAGGGUGAAGAAGCUAGGACAGAAGGGUAGAGCUCAAGAGAGUAGAAUGCGUUUAGGAAUGUGGAAUAUAGGAACCUUAACGGGGAAAAUCUAUGGAAGUAGUGGAAGUUAUGGUGAGGAGAAGGAUAAAUAUUAUGUGCCUACAAGAAACUAAGUGGGUUGGUCUUAAGGCAAAGGAUCUAGAAAACUCAGGGUUUAAACUUUGGUAUUCGGGCACAAAUAGAAUGAGAAACUGUGUUGGCAUCAUUGUGGACAAGACCUUGACACAAGAUGUUGUAGAUGUCAAGAGGGUAGGAGAUAGAAUCAUGGCAAUCAAGAUUGUAAUAGGACAAGAACUCAUCAAUGUGAUUAGUGCGUACGCACCUCAAGUAGGGUUGGAUACAAGUUCGAAGGAGAAAUUUUGGGAAGACCUUGGAGACUUGGUGCAAGGAAUUGCCCAAACGGAGAAGUUAUUUAUAGAGGAGAUUUAAAUGGACACGUGGGUAGGGAGACAGGCAACUAUGGAGGUUUUCAUGGUGGCCAUGGUUUUGGGGAGAGAAACGAGGAUGGGGAAGCUAUCUUGGAUUUUGCAAUGGCAUAUGAUCUCUUCUUAGCCAACACCUUCUUUAAGAAGAGAGAAGAACAUGUGAUCACCUACAAGAGUGGGUCGUCAAAAACACAAAUAGAUUUUCUUCUAAUGAGGAAAGGGGAUCGUAUAACUUGUAAGGAUUGCAAAGUUAUACAUGGAGAGAGCUUGGCUAAUCAACAUCGCUUGUUGGUGAUUGAUGUACAUAUCAAAAGAGUGAGAAAAAAGAACAAGACUUGGAAGUGCCCAAGGACUAGAUGGUGGAAUUUAAAAGGAGAAAAACAAGUCAUUUUCAAAGAGAAAGUAAUCACCUAGUAUGGGUGGGAUAGAGAGGGGGAAGUUAGCCAAAGGUGGGAUUCCAUGGCUAGUUGUAUCCGAAAAGUAGCAAAAGAGGUAUUAGGAGAGUCCAAGGGCUCUGCUCCACACCAAAAGGAAUCUUGGUGGUGGAAUGAGGAGGUACAAACAAAGGUGAAGGCUAAGAAAGAAUGUUGUAAAGCCUUAUACAAGGACAUGACCGAUGAAAAUGGUGAAAGGUAUAGAAGAGCGAAGCAAGAGGCGAAGAAAGCUGUGAGAUAAGCUAAGUUAACGGCUUAUGACGACAUGUAUAAGCGACUAGAUACCAAAGAAGGAGAGUUGGAUAUCUAUAAACUAGCUAGAGUAAGGGAAAAGAAGAGAAGUGACCUAAACCAAGUGAGGUGCAUCAAGGAUGAGGAUGGAAAGGUUUUUGCUACAGAGAAUACAAUCAAAGACAAAUGGAGAGGUUAUUUUCAUAAUCUUUUCAAUGAAGGACAUGAAAGGAGUACUUCUUUAGGGGAGUUGAGUAACUCAGAAGAGUAGAAACUACUCCUUUUAUCGUCAAAUCAGGAAGGAAGAAGUGGCUGUAGCUUUGAAGAAGAUGAAGCAUAGAAAAGCAGUGGGCCCAGACGAUAUACCGAUCGAAGUGUGGAAAAUCUUGGGAGAGACAGGUAUAGCAUGGCUCACUAACCUUUUCAAUAGGAUUUUGAAAACGAAGAAAAUGCCAAAUGAGUGGCAAAAGAACACUUUGGUGCCUAUCUACAAGAAUAAGGGUGACGUACAAAAUUGCAUGAACUAUAGGGGUAUUAAGCUAAUGAGUCAUACAAUGAAGCUCUAGGAGAGAGUCAUUGAGCAUAGAUUGAGGCAAGAGACACGGGUUUCGGACAACCAAUUCGGGUUCAUGCCAGGGCGUUCAACCAUGGAGGCAAUCUAUCUCUUACGAAGAUUGAUGGAAAGAUAUAGAGAUGGGAAAAGGAUUUACACAUGGCCUUUAUAGAUUUGGAAAAAGCGUAUGAUAGGGUCCCAAAAGACAUUCUUUGGAGGAUUUUAGAGAAGAAAGGAGUACGAGUAACAUAUAUCCAAGCUAUAAAGGAUAUGUAUGAAGGAGCAAAGACUGCCGUAAGAACUCAUGAAGGACAAACCGAAAGCUUCCCCAUAACUGUAGGAUUACAUCAAGGCUCAUCCUUAAGUCCUUACCUUUUUGCGUUGGUAAUGGAUGAGUUAACAGGACAUAUUCAAGAUGAUAUUCCUUGGUGUAUGCUUUUCGCAGACGAUAUAGUGUUGAUAGAUGAAAAUCAGGAAGGGGUAAAUGUAAAGCUUAACCUUUGGAGAGAAGUGUUGGAAUCUAAAGGUCUUCGCCUAAGCCAAUCAAAGACAGAAUUUAUGGAGUGCAAGUUCAAUGCAAAUAGAGGCCAAAAUGAGUUAGGGGUGAGGAUCGGAGAUCAGGAAAUACCAAAGAGCGAUCGUUUUCGCUACUUAGGAUCUAUCUUGCAAAAGAACGGAGAAUUAGAUGGAGAUCUCAACCAUAGAAUACAAGUUGGAUGGAUGAAGUGGAAGAGUGCAUCCGGCGUGUUGUGUGACCGCCGUAUGCCACUGAAGCUUAAGGGAAAAUUUUAUAGGAUGGCAAUAAAGCCGGCGAUGCUGUAUGGCACAGAAUGUUGGACGGUGAAGCAUCAACACAUACACAAAAUGGGUGUAGCGGAGAUGAGGAUGCUUCGUUGGAUGUGUGGGCACACGAGAAAUGAUAAGAUUAGGAAUGAGGAUAUCUGAGGUAAAGUAGGAGUAGCCGAAAUUGUAGGAAAAUUGAGAGAAAAUCGAUUACGGUGGUUUGGACAUGUGCAAAGAAAGCCUACUGACGCUCCGGUUAGAAGAUGCGACUACGGGACAGAGGUUCAGGGCCGAAGGGGUAGAGGAAGACCUAGGAAAACUUUGGAAGAGACUCUAAGAAAAUACUUAAGAGUAUUUGGAUCUAACGGAGGACAUGACACAGGACCGAGCACAAUGGCGUUCUAAGAUUCAUAUAGCCGACCUCACUCAGUGAAGAAGGCUUUGGUGUAUUUAACACAAUACGUUGAAAUGAAGCAAAGCUUAUUUAUUGAUAUCUCUGAUAAGUUACAAAUAUGUACAUAUACAUGAGUCAAAAUAAACAAACAAGAGGGAGCCUUCACAAAGGUUGCUUCGGAGAAGUCUCAGCAGUCGGUAGAGCCCCAGAAAGAGAAGGCACCGGAGGGGGAUCAUUUGGAGCCUCAGUACUGGACAGAACCCUAGAAGGAGGAGACAUCAGAGGUUGAUCAUUUGGAGCUUCAUUACGCGGUACAGCCCCAGAAGACGAAGACAAUAAAUGCCUUUGGAACAAACCCACAAACCGCUGAUGAUCAAGUAAAACCUGACCAUCAGAUUCCUUCAUCUGGUCAAGCUUCCUCCUCAUGUUUGUAGCAUAGUCAUGUGUGAGCCGGUGCAACUGUUUAUUCUCAUGCUUGAGCCCUCUAAUCUUCUGUUUGAGACUCAUCACUUCAGCCGCCAAUGAUUCAACUUGGCGGGUUCGAGCAAAUAGGCGUUGGGCCAUAUUAGACACAGAAUCUGCACAUUGAACACUUAGAGCCAGAUAAUCCUUAACAGCCAACUCAUCAGACCGUUUGGAAAGUAGUCUGUUAUCUUUGGGAGUGAGAAGGUUCCUCGCCACCACCGCAGCAGUCAUAUCAUUCUUCAUCACGGAAUCCUUAACGGUAAGAGGACCAGUAGGGGAUAAGAAAGAUGGGCGCCAUAUGUUGUCUGGAAAAGGCGUGGCUACCUCUUCAACAAGGUUCAAGUCAAAACGACAGUCGGAGGGGCUAGACAUUUUCAGAGGUGUUGAAGAGAGAAAAUGUUGGACAAAUCAAGAUCUUAUAAGUGCAAGAAUGGAACUUUUACUGGUGAAGAUUCAAGUGUGCUUUGGAAUUUAAUGCCAGCCUCUAUAAAAAUUUGCACUCGACGGAGCUUAAGAAAUCGAAGAGGCGUCUGCCCAGAAAUCGAAGAGGCAUUUGCUUUCUCAAAAGCUGGGCUGCUCAGAGACCACGAGGGCCGAUCUUAGAAAUCGAAGAGGCGUUUACUUUCUCAAAAGUUGGGCUGCUCAAAGACCACGAAGGCCGAUCUCAGAAAUCGAAGAGGCACUUGCUUUCUCAAAAGCUAGGUUGCUCAGAGACCACGAGGGCCGAUAUCAGAAAUCGAAGAGGCACUUGCUUUUCUCAGCCUUGUCAGCACCUGUCAUAUGCACACUCAGCUUUGCUGAAAUUACGGGCAUUCUGUUGAAGAUUUCUGGUGAAGUAGAAAGCACAUGAAUCUUACUGUUUAAUCAUCCACUUUCCACACGCACCAUCAGCUCAUGGGUACCACAUAUAACUUUGCCAAAGAUCUCUAACAAAGUUUAGACACGUGAAACUUGCAGCUCCCACUACAUCGUUAUGACAAAGAAUGGCAAAAGAAUAAUAAAGAAACAGCACUAACAAAGUUUUGACACAUAAAUUUUGAAGGUCUAGCUACUAUAUUAUUACCCACAAGAGUAAAGGAACAACACCACUGUUGGAUAAUUGGAAAGUCCCUAUGUGUCAACCUUUGUGCUCCAUGGCAAGGUAGACUAGCAAACAUGCCCAACCUUUACUCACAUUCGAGAAAACACUUCCAACAAGAUUGCUUGCUCCAAAAUCGAAGAGGCACCGUCCUCCGAAUCUCGAGAGCCAGACUCCCAACAUGAUUACUUUCUCAAAAAUCGAAGAGACACUGCUCUCCGAAUCUCGAGAGCCAGACUCCCAGCAGGAUUGCUCUCUAAAAAAUCGAAGAGGUACCGUUCUCCGAAUCUUGAGAGCCAGAUCCCCGAUAGGAUUGCUUGUUCGAAAACCGAAGAGGCACCGCUUUCUCAACUUCGAGAGUCAGAUCUCAUUGGAUAAAGCUUGUCUGUAAUCUUCACACGCAACAUCAGCUUUCCAGAUACCACAGACCACUUUUUCAAAGUGAUCUGACACACGUGAAGCUGGCAGCUCCCAUUACCGUGCUAUGACCAAGCAGGGUAAAUGAAUAGCAUUACUAGUUGUUGUUAGGGAAACUCCUAUAUAUGUCGACCUCCAUCCUCAAUGGACAGGCAGACCUGCAAAAAUGCUCAACCCUUCCUCAUAUCUAAAAGGGCACUCCCAACGAAGCCUCUCGAAAUACUCAGCUUUCUUUCCCCCCGAUAAUCCACCUGCAAACAAGCUACACCAGAGCAAGAAUAUCUCAUAUCAUCAGGGUUAAAAGCAAGAGUAUCUCAUAUCAUGCUUUUUCCCUGUCUUUUCCUUUGGCCUUGUUCUUACCUGCAAGACAAAGAGAAAGAGAGCAAUCAGUCAGCACUUGCAAUCAAGCUUCUAAUCAGGAACUGACUGCCUGUAACCCCUUACCUGAUUACUUACCUGGCAUUGCUCUCGAGUACUCAUCUUCAACAUCUUAUGCUUCUAGAGAAGAUACCACAUCUGCCUGAGGAACAGAUAGGGAAAGUGAGAAUGAUACAAGGAAGCAUGUAGAGACAAGCGUAAAAGAACACGUGCCGAUACAUCCACUACUUUGUCAACAGCAAAAGUAUCACAUAUCAGCAGGGUCGAACGUAUUCUAGAUUUGAUGGACUUGUUUUAACCCUCAAAUUCUUCAGUCAGCCUUAUACUCUGGAGGGAACCAGAAAAUCCUCCAGCCCAGUUCAAGAAUAAGCCUGUGGAAAGUUACUUCUUCAAAAGCAAAAGUAUCUCAUAUCAUCUACUCUCAUUUUCUUCUCUUUAUCCUUCAUGCUGCCUGCAAGAUAGGGAGAAUGAGAACAAUCAGCCGGAACUCGAAAUCAAACUUCUGAUCUGGGACUGAUUGCUGGGAGCUCUGAUUGCUUACCUUGUCUGUCGCCUCUUUCAGCAGAUCCCCUAGCUCGGCGACUUGGGGGACUCCUACUACAUGGUUUGUAUCGCGCUUGACCAAGCCUGAAACUACAAGUAAGCUUCAAGUGAAAUUGAUACAUUACCUUGUGCAUCUCCACCAGUUAAAGAUACCACCCCUGGAUAGAGGAAGAGUACUUCCAAAGAAGAUGCCACAUCUACCUAUGAGACAGAUAAGGCAAGUGAAGACGAGAGCUUGAACCUAUGUCAUUUGUACUAAAUCAUUCACUUGUACUCACUAAAGAAGAGCUUGAACCUAUGUACUUGUGUAAACCCUUCACAAUUAAUGAGAACUCCUCUACUCGGUGGACGUAGCCAAUCUGGGUGAACCACGUACAUCUUGUGUUUGCUUUCCUGUCUCUAUCCAUUUACAUACUUAUCCACACUAAUGACCAGAGCAAUCUAGCGAAGAUCACAAACUUAAUAUUUUCUAUUGUACCAAAGUCCUCAUUGAUUUUGUGCAUCAACAAUCCUUAAGUCCUUACCUUUUUGCGUUGGUAAUGGAUGAGUUAACAGGACAUAUUCAAGAUAAUAUUCCUUGGUGUAUGCUUUUCGCAAACGAUAUAGUGUUGAUCGAUGAAACUCAAGAGGGGUAAAUGCGAAGCUUAACCUUUGGAGAGAAGUGUUGGAAUCUAAAGGUCUUCGCCUAAGCCGAUCAAAGACAAAAUAUAUGGAGUGCAAGUUCAGUGCAAAUUGAGGCCAAAAUGAGUUAGGGGUGAGGAUCGGAGAUCAGGAAAUACCAAAGAGCGACCGUUUUUGCUACCUAGGAUCUAUCUUGCAAAAGAACGGAGAAUUAAAUGGAGAUCUCAACCAUAGAAUACAAGCUGGAUGGAUGAAGUGGAAGAGUGCAUCUGGCGUGUUGUGUGACUGUCGUAGGGGCAAUAAGGUCGGUGAUACUGUAUGGCACAGAAUGUUGGGCGGUGAAGCAUCAACACGUACACAAAAUGAGUUUGGACAUGUGCAAAGAAGGCCUACUAACGCUCCGGUUCGAAGAUGUGACUACGGGAUAGAGGUUCAGGGCCGAAGGGGUAGAGGAAGACUUAGGAAAACUUUGGAAAAUACCCUAAGAAAAGACUUAGAGUACUUGGAUCUAACGGAGGACAUGACACAAAACCGAGCGCAAUGGCGUUCUAGGAUUCAUAUAGCC
rnacentral:lncRNA from 1 species